GUUGCCCACCAUUCUUUGUAAUAAAGACAACGUGCAGUAAUUAAUGAACUUAUAAAAGUACAUUUU
rnacentral:rRNA from 1 species